GACGAACGCUGGCGGCGUGCCUAAUACAUGCAAGUAGAACGCUGAAGAAGGAGCUUGCUCUUCUGGAUGAGUUGCGAACGGGUGAGUAACGCGUAGGUAACCUGCCUGGUAGCGGGGGAUAACUAUUGGAAACGAUAGCUAAUACCGCAUAAGAGUAGAUGUUGCAUGACAUUUACUUAAAAGGUGCAAUUGCAUCACUACCAGAUGGACCUGCGUUGUAUUAGCUAGUUGGUGGGGUAACGGCUCACCAAGGCGACGAUACAUAGCCGACCUGAGAGGGUGAUCGGCCACACUGGGACUGAGACACGGCCCAGACUCCUACGGGAGGCAGCAGUAGGGAAUCUUCGGCAAUGGACGGAAGUCUGACCGAGCAACGCCGCGUGAGUGAAGAAGGUUUUCGGCAUCGUAAAGCUCUGUUGUAAGAGAAGAACGAGUGUGAGAGUGGAAAGUUCACACUGUGACGGUAUCUACCA
rnacentral:rRNA from 1 species